rnacentral:rRNA from 1 species
UUUCGGCAAUGGGGGCAACCCUGACCGAGCGACGCCGCGUGAGCGAUGAAGGCCUUCGGGUUGUAAAGCACUUUUGGCAGGGAAGGAAAGGUUCUGGCUAAUAAUCGGAACUGCUGACGGGACCUGCAGAAUAAGCACCGGCUAACUACGUGCCAGCAGCCGCGGUAAUACGUAGGGUGCAAGCGUUAAUCGGAAUUACUGGGCGUAAAGCGUGAGCAGGCGGUUUGGCAAGAAGGAUGUGAAAUCCCGGGGCUUAACCUCGGAACUGCAUUCUUAACUGCCAGGCUAGAGUAUGUCAGAGGGGGGUAGAAUUCCACGUGUAGCAGUGAAAUGCGUAGAGAUGUGGAGGAAUACCGAUGGCGAAGGCAGCCCCCUGGGAUAAUACUGACGCUCAUGCACGAAAGCGUGGGGAGCAAACA